CGAUGAACCACUUCGGUGGGGAUUAGUGGCGAACGGGUGAGUAACACGUGGGCAAUCUGCCCUGCACUCUGGGACAAGCCCUGGAAACGGGGUCUAAUACCGGAUACUGACCACCACAGGCAUCUGUGGUGUUCGAAAGCUCCGGCGGUGCAGGAUGAGCCCGCGGCCUAUCAGCUUGUUGGUGAGGUAAUGGCUCACCAAGGCGACGACGGGUAGCCGGCCUGAGAGGGCGACCGGCCACACUGGGACUGAGACACGGCCCAGACUCCUACGGGAGGCAGCAGUGGGGAAUAUUGCACAAUGGGCGCAAGCCUGAUGCAGCGACGCCGCGUGAGGGAUGACGGCCUUCGGGUUGUAAACCUCUUUCAGCAGGGAAGAAGCGAAAGUGACGGUACCUGCAGAAGAAGCGCCGGCUAACUACGUGCCAGCAGCCGCGGUAAUACGUAGGGCGCGAGCGUUGUCCGGAAUUAUUGGGCGUAAAGAGCUCGUAGGCGGCUUGUCGCGUCGGUUGUGAAAGCCCGGGGCUUAACCCCGGGUCUGCAGUCGAUACGGGCAGGCUAGAGUUCGGUAGGGGAGAUCGGAAUUCCUGGUGUAGCGGUGAAAUGCGCAGAUAUCAGGAGGAACACCGGUGGCGAAGGCGGAUCUCUGGGCCGAUACUGACGCUGAGGAGCGAAAGCGUGGGGAGCGAACAGGAUUAGAUACCCUGGUAGUCCACGCCGUAAACGGUGGGCACUAGGUGUGGGCAACAUUCCACGUUGUCCGUGCCGCAGCUAACGCAUUAAGUGCCCCGCCUGGGGAGUACGGCCGC
rnacentral:rRNA from 1 species